AUAAAAAAAAAAUUAAAUAAUAUCACUUUAAUUUGUACACAUAAAAAAAAUUAAGGAUAACAAUGAAUCGUUUUGUUGUAGUUUUUAUGGUUUCAAUGUUUAGUGUUGUUAUCAUUGCUUUUCUAUCAAGCACAAUUGAAGCUGAACCUAUACCUAAAGCUAAACCUAUGGGUGGUCCGGCUAUAUAAAUACUAACCAAUAUAUAACACUAUAAACAACAACAACAAACAGUUUUAUUUUUGUUAAUACACUUAUAUAUAUAAAUAAAAAUUAAAAAUAUUUUUUAUAUGAAUUUAAUUUUUUGUUGUUGUUGUUGUUGUUGUUGUUAUUGUAAUAAUUUCUUAAUAAAAAACAAUGUAUUGAUUGAU